rnacentral:lncRNA from 1 species
UUGAAAUCCGAGUGUAACACCUAAAAACCUUCCCUUGUUAGUCUCUUCUUUUAUUUCUUUUUUUAUCCUGCUUUAUGCUCCAUCUCACUCUGCGCGCGCGUGCGAUUUACGCACACACGUAUACACGCGUGAACACGAGCAAACUAACGGCAAAGCGCGGACGCAUUUUUGUGCCGCUCGUUGCAUACCGCGCGUUCCCACAGAGUAGGGCUAAACGUCAUUACGAACGGACGAGAAGUGCCUUCCUUCGUAGCGCGAUCUUGCUCCCGCAAGGUGGAUACCGCAAUUUGUUGACACCAGAGAAAAAGAGACACAUUGAUGUCAAGUUUCAUUACUCUGCAUAUACCAUAUCCUUGUUAUCCGCGAAUUUGGGAACCGCUGGGCAAUUUUACACAGCCACGUCGUAGCGUUCCAGCGAUUCUCUACGUAGGUACGCAAGCGUAGGUACGUCAGGCACGCAGUGGCUUCCUCACGACUCCAACGAAGUCACUCCGCUAGAUUAUGCUGAAACUGGUGCUUUGGUAGAAGAGACAGUAAAAGAAGCCGCGAACGAGAAUUCCCCGCCCAACCUAGGUGAAAGCCUUGCACCGACUCUUGUAGAUGCAAUAUAAAACUGUGGAAGAGCCUUGGAGCGGACGAAAUAUCCUCGAGUUACGCUUAUUUUUUACACAAUUUUCUUUAGAUUUUUUUUAUAUAUAAUCUUAUAUAUAUAUAUAUAUAUAUAUAUAUAAACGACCAUAUAUUUAAUACUAAAUACAUAUGUUUUUUAAUAUAAGAAAGUAGAAAGUAGAAGUGCCAAAAAAGAUUAAACAGUGAAUAAUAUCAUAAACUACAACACAUAAAUAAGGUAUAUAAUGAAAUUCACACGUUUUGUGAUAAAGAGAGAUAGAGUUUAAUCCGAUUAGUGAACGAUUAAUUAACAUUUUAAUGACUAUAUGCAAUGGUAUAUUUUUUAUGACCGGGUAAUGAUCGCCAUGAAUCAGUAUAGCACACAAUAACAACUCUUCUUAAAAUAUAUCUUUACUCGUAUUGAAAUAAGAAGAUAAUUAAGCAUUUCUAGACACAACAAUGUCAGUAGCACUGGUGAAGAAAAGCAACAUUAAAACAAACAAAAUAACUAUAAUCGAUUACACGUUGUAUUUUUAUUGUAAAGAAGAACAAUAAAUGAGACCCAUUUCUCAAUUUCAAAAAUAAUUAAGCGAUUAAAAGUAAUUUUUAAGAAAUAAUCAGAAUUUAAAUAUUUCUUGCAAACUCGUGUAUAUUUAUUUAAAACUAUGCGUACAUAUACAUGUUUAAACGAACAUUGAACAUAUAUAGCUUCCAAGUUAGGUAAAUUUUAAUAAAUAUUAUUUAUUUGAUGCUCUCAAUAUAAAGCACGAACAUCACAUUGUUGCCAUGUAUCAAAUAGAUGGAGGAUAUAUUUAACUAUCAUAUCUAAAUGUGAAAUUUAUCAGUCAUUGCAUGGAUAGCAAUCUUUUAUAGUAAUCAAACGCCUAAAAAGAUGUUCUUUAGAAUUUCUUGAAGAAUAUGAAUUUUCUUUACUUAAAAAAUAAUCUUGUUAGUAGGAUUUUCGAGAUUAUGUUUAAAUGUUUUUCAUAAUACUUUUCUCAGAAUAUAUUGGGAUUUUUUUAACAGAAUUGGCACGGACUUUUCUGAUCAAUCCAAUAUAAAAAUGUAAUAUGGAACGAAAACUAAAAAUACUAAUGAUGCGACAUAUAGUUCCUUCUAAUGAAUGCUUUACGGUUUUGUGAUAAUAAACAAAACUUAUUUUAAACUGCUCGACUUGUGAUUAGUUUACUAAUAAUCGUUUGGAAAUUUUUAAUAAGCAUGUAUGCAGAGUACGAUCCCUUAGAGAAAAUACAAACAUAUGUUUUGGUAUUGUACAUUAAUUUUUUUUCGUCUUUUAAAAUAUUAAAAAUAUUUAAGUUGUUAUGUUUCUCCUAUUCGAAACUGAGGACUAGAAGAAAGAAUUUUUUAAUUAUUGUGCAUAAAAUUCAUAAUGGAAUAAAAAUGUAAAAGUUCUCAAACAAUGUAAAACAUGCGCCACAUAAUCACGACAAUAUCUGUUGUUACAGCAUCGGUGAUCUGCUUUUUCUCAAUCGAAGAAAUCAUCAAAUUAUUUAAUCUUUCUAUUUAUUUCGAAUAUUUUACAUUCACUAGCUUAUUUAUUUAUAUUAGCUAGCGAUUUGAUUAUAUUGCCCUUAUGUAUCACUGUUUUUUCCGAAAACUCAUACAGUCCGUUUAAUCAUUUAUACAACAAAAUAUUUCACAAUAAUGUUCAGAAUAUUCUUAUGCAAUAAGGUUCAAGAAUAUCGCGCUGUAAUGAUUAAUCAUUUUUCAAGAGAAAUAUCGCUUAUGCGAUAUACAUAUAAUAUAUUAAUGCUAUAUUUAUUUUCCAUUUUCUUGCUAAAAAUCUUUGUCGGGUAAGGGAAUAAUUGAUUUAUGUUACACACAGCUUCACGCAUCAAAUGGCGCGAUAAAAAAGAAAUUUACGCGAAAACUCAUUAAAUUUCAAACAGUUAAACAGUUAAAUACCAUAGCGAUGCACAUCGUAAGCAUCUUAUUAUUUUGCACAUAAAUAAUGCUCACCGUGUGUUUCACGAUAUUCGGUUGUAUAACGAUGCAAAUGACUGGAAUAGGGCCGCGAGCGUAAUAGUAGCACCCCAUGCAAGAGACAUACUUAUGAGAUACUUACUAGAACAUUACGUUUGUAAGAACUUUGAACUAAUUAAAAUCAAGGCUACUUUUCGACGACAUACAUAUAUAUGCAGCAAAAAGAUUGAUGUGCCUUAUUUAGUGUCAUGUCUCACGCUAAUACACAAGGUUCUUCAAUGCGUGAAGAUUAAAAGAGGCAUGUAAUUUGAAACUUGAAAAGAUAUUUUCCAGAAGAGAUACAGAAAGUUACAAGACGUCCACAGAGAAAACACAGAGUAUCGAGUUGCAGAAAUCUGUAGCAGAGACAAGUCCAUCAAGGUAGCUAUAAUAAUGAAGAUUUCCGAAACUACUUUUGAAUGAGCGCCAUGGGAAGUAUUCUGUUUCGUUACGCACACGCAACAUAAUGUUCGUGCAGCUUUAACGGCGGCAGGCGUAAGGAGGG